rnacentral:rRNA from 1 species
CCAAUAGCGUAUAUUAAAGUUGUUGCAGUUAAAAAGCUCGUAGUUGAAUUUCGGGGUUCUACCGUUGGUCGGGCUAUUGUCUGUACUGGCGUGUAGAAUUUCUACCUUCUGGGGAACUAUCAUGUUAUUAAUUUAGCGUGGUAGGAAACCAGAACCUUUACCUUGAAAAAAUUAGAGUGUUCAAAGCAGGCUUAUGUCUGAAUACAUUAGCAUGGACUAAUAAAAUAGGACGGUGGUCCUGUUUUGUUGGUUUCUGAAUCACCGUAAUGAUUAAUAGGGAUAGUUGGGGGCAUUAGUAUUCAAUUGUCAGAGGUGAAAUUCUUGGAUUUAUUGAAGACUAACUACUGCGAAAGCAUUUGCCAAGGAUGUUUUCAUUAAUCAAGAACGAAAGGUAGGGGAUCGAAGACGAUCAGAUACCGUCGUAGUCUUAACCAUAAACUAUGCCGACUAGGGAUCGGACGAUGUUAACUUUUCUUGACUCGUUCGGCGCCUUACG